UUAGCACAGUGAUGUAAUUCUCUAGUUCACACAUACUCAGUAUGCAGUAAUGAUAUAAUUGUAUUAAAGUGUUUAAGGGCUGAAAAGGACUGGAUAUGAGACAUUCCAUUUUUGAUCAACCUCCUGGUGGCUCUCCUGCUUCCUGCGCUCCUCCACUAAGAUCAAGACUGGGCCAGAAUAAAGACUCUGGGCUCUAUUCCUGAUCAUUCCCGUGGUAUCUAUCCUGCUGAGACCAAGGCCUGUCGGAAGGACCUCCAGAAAGCUAGCCCGGACAUUACACUCCCCAUUGCCUCUCAACUUUUAUACAAGAAUUGGGACUUGAACUUUGCUUUUUCCAAUACCAGAUCUGCCCUCUGUCAUAUGCAUUUAUCUUUGAUCUAUCUCUACGUCAAAACAAAAACAAUCCUUGAUUGGUGACUUUAAAGAAGUCUAGUUAGUGAUUAACAACUACAUAACCACCAGGCUAAUGAGGCAAACUGGGAAAUCAGAGAGUUCUAUCAGAGCCAGAGAUUUAUUAUCAACCAUACUAAAAUUUUCUGUACCUUCAACCAAGAUCUUCUGAAUAAAGCAGUUUCCAUGGAGCCCAACAGGCACGUGAAUAGAAUCUAGACAUGGAGUCAGGAAAGAUCUGAAUUCAAAUCCAGGCUCAGUCACUUAAUAACUGUAACCCUGGUUGUCAUUUAACAUCUCUGUGCCUCAAUUUCCUCCUCUGUAAAAUGGGGAUGAUAAAAGCACCUACUUCCCAAAGUUGUUAUGAGGUUUCAUUGAGUUAUUAUUAGAAUAAUUGUCAAAUCUUAAAGCACUAAAUAAAUGCUAGCUACUGCUAUUACUAAUUUGUGGAGGGAUUAUCUAAUCUAUUUAUAAACCAACUAAACCAAAUAUAGACUGCCAUUGCCCUCUGUCUCUUUCAUAUAUUGUUCUAUGUCAUUUAUUAGACAGAUGGCCCCAAUAGAUACUUACUUAUGUCACCUCAUGUCUUUAUAAUUUAAUUUCUGCCUAUAGGUAAUAUUUCUUGAUUUACCAACUUACAAAUGAGUCAUGUUCCAAAUGUGUCUCUGUAAGAAGUAUCGGUCAUUCAGUCUACAAAUCUACAGAGGAAAGCUACUUGCCUACUUAAUUUAGUAUCAUCAGAACAGAGUCCUAUUACUGAGGGACCCAAGACCUUAGAAGGCAGUAAGUCUGUCAUGACCUGUGUAAUAUGUAUACACAAAUAUGUGCCCAGAACAAAGAUUCAGCUUUUAGCCAUUGAAUGGAUGUUGCCUCAGAGACAAACUGAAACCUUUAAUUUAGAAAGGUCAAGUUCACUCACAGCAUCCAUCCAGAGCCAUCACCAGUCAUCUUGAUUUUUGCUUUUGCCACUGGACUUCAGUGACAUUGGAUAAAAGAGUAAGUCUGUGCAGCUUUGCUUCACUUAAUCAAAAUUCACUCAGACAUGCAACGUGCAAAUGCAAUGCUAUAGUAAUCUUAUGUUUAACAAGUGAAUGACUUAAGUUUUAGAGCUAAGAAUUCAUUAUUUGGUAAAAAUUGCUGGAAAGCAGUGUGGCAAAAAUUGGGCAUAGAUCAAUAUCUUGUAUGAUUUACCUAGAUAAGGUCAAAAUGAAUAUAUGGAGGAAAAUAUAGGAGGAAAUAUGCCUCCUAAUUCCUAGAGUGUAAAAUUCUCACAUUGAAAAUUUACCAAAUGACUCUUGGGUACCACUGGCUGAAUAUAAAGAGAGAUAUUACCCAAAAAAUUGAAAAUAUUGCUUAUUAUAUUUAUGGAUAGGUGAACAAUUUAUGAAUAAAAAGGGCAUAGGAGUAGUGUGAGGUAUAAUUUUGAUUUAUAUUAAAUUUAAAACAUUUUGUACAAAUAAAUAUAAC